rnacentral:rRNA from 1 species
UUCUAACGCUGGCGGCGUGCCUAAUACAUGCAAGUCGAGCGAACGGACGAGAAGCUUGCUUCUCUGAUGUUAGCGGCGGACGGGUGAGUAACACGUGGAUAACCUACCUAUAAGACUGGGAUAACUUCGGGAAACCGGAGCUAAUACCGGAUAAUAUUUUGAACCGCAUGGUUCAAAAGUGAAAGACGGUCUUGCUGUCACUUAUAGAUGGAUCCGCGCUGCAUUAGCUAGUUGGUAAGGUAACGGCUUACCAAGGCAACGAUGCAUAGCCGACCUGAGAGGGUGAUCGGCCACACUGGAACUGAGACACGGUCCAGACUCCUACGGGAGGCAGCAGUAGGGAAUCUUCCGCAAUGGGCGAAAGCCUGACGGAGCAACGCCGCGUGAGUGAUGAAGGUCUUCGGAUCGUAAAACUCUGUUAUUAGGGAAGAACAUAUGUGUAAGUAACUGUGCACAUCUUGACGGUACCUAAUCAGAGAGCCACGGCUAACUACGUGCCAGCAGCCGCGGUAAUACGUAGGUGGCAAGCGUUAUCCGGAAUUAUUGGGCGUAAAGCGCGCGUAGGCGGUUUUUUAAGUCUGAUGUGAAAGCCCACGGCUCAACCGUGGAGGGUCAUUGGAAACUGGAAAACUUGAGUGCAGAAGAGGAAAGUGGAAUUCCAUGUGUAGCGGUGAAAUGCGCAGAGAUAUGGAGGAACACCAGUGGCGAAGGCGACUUUCUGGUCUGUAACUGACGCUGAUGUGCGAAAGCGUGGGGAUCAAACAGGAUUAGAUACCCUGGUAGUCCACGCCGUAAACGAUGAGUGCUAAGUGUUAGGGGGUUUCCGCCCCUUAGUGCUGCAGCUAACGCAUUAAGCACUCCGCCUGGGGAGUACGACCGCAAGGUUGAAACUCAAAGGAAUUGACGGGGACCCGCACAAGCGGUGGAGCAUGUGGUUUAAUUCGAAGCAACGCGAAGAACCUUACCAAAUCUUGACAUCCUUUGACAACUCUAGAGAUAGAGCCUUCCUCUUCGGGGGACAAAGUGACAGGUGGUGCAUGGUUGUCGUCAGCUCGUGUCGUGAGAUGUUGGGUUAAGUCCCGCAACGAGCGCAACCCUUAAGCUUAGUUGCCAUCAUUAAGUUGGGCACUCUAAGUUGACUGCCGGUGACAAACCGGAGGAAGGUGGGGAUGACGUCAAAUCAUCAUGCCCCUUAUGAUUUGGGCUACACACGUGCUACAAUGGACAAUACAAAGGGCAGCGAAACCGCGAGGUCAAGCAAAUCCCAUAAAGUUGUUCUCAGUUCGGAUUGUAGUCUGCAACUCGACUACAUGAAGCUGGAAUCGCUAGUAAUCGUAGAUCAGCAUGCUACGGUGAAUACUUUCCCGGGUCU